rnacentral:rRNA from 1 species
UCUCCUGGAAAAGGGUGGUAAUGCCGGAUGCUCCAGUUGAUCGCAUGGUCUUCUGGGAAAGCUUUCGCGGUAUGGGAUGGGGUCGCGUCCUAUCAGCUUGACGGCGGGGUAACGGCCCACCGUGGCUUCGACGGGUAGCCGGCCUGAGAGGGCGACCGGCCACAUUGGGACUGAGAUACGGCCCAGACUCCUACGGGAGGCAGCAGUGGGGAAUAUUGCACAAUGGGCGCAAGCCUGAUGCAGCGACGCCGCGUGAGGGAUGGAGGCCUUCGGGUUGUAAACCUCUUUUAUCGGGGAGCAAGCGAGAGUGAGUUUACCCGUUGAAUAAGCACCGGCUAACUACGUGCCAGCAGCCGCGGUAAUACGUAGGGUGCAAGCGUUAUCCGGAAUUAUUGGGCGUAAAGGGCUCGUAGGCGGUUCGUCGCGUCCGGUGUGAAAGUCCAUCGCUUAACGGUGGAUCCGCGCCGGGUACGGGCGGGCUUGAGUGCGGUAGGGGAGACUGGAAUUCCCGGUGUAACGGUGGAAUGUGUAGAUA